AAGGUUCGACGUACGUCGAUUAAUAGGGAAUACGGUGUGAAUCCAUAGCAGUCCCCGCUACUGUAUGAAGGACAAAGGCUUCACUUACACGAUGAUGUAAGCCACUGGGAAACUGGGAAGGAGAAGCCGGCGGUUGAAUUCGAGUCAGGAGACCUGCCUUAUUUGC
rnacentral:ncRNA from 1 species